GUCGUAGAAACAGAGAGAAUGAGAUUUGGUUUUGAAUUUUGGAAGAAAUAAGACCCUAUAACCGGAUAUAUAAGCUGCUGUUAUAGUAACCGUACUGGUACACGGGUUUGUGUACCGGUACACAGUCCCAAAUUUCGAAAAAUUUACAUUAAAAAUCUAUUAAUCUUAAAUUAAUUUUAUAUAAAUUAAGAAUUUUAUUCCAAAAAUUAUUAUAAUAAAAAUAAAAUAUUAUAAGAUUUCAAAAUACAUCGAAACACCAAAAUUUCAUAAUAAAAAAUGACCUCAAGUUGCAAAAUCAUCAAGAUGUAACGGUUCACGAAAAAUAAU
rnacentral:lncRNA from 1 species